GGUCUGUAAGCUGAGACCUAAAAGGCAGCAGAAUCACAGGGCGACGGUUAAAGCCCUAAAACAACCUA
rnacentral:ncRNA from 1 species